rnacentral:rRNA from 1 species
AAUUAUUAUUAGAUUUUUAAAUAAUUAUUCACGAAAUAAAUUGAGCUAAAUUUUUGGUAUUUUUGGAAAUUAUAACUAUAUGUUACAAAAUAUAUUAACUAAAAUAGAUUUAGGGGUGAAAGGCCUAUCAAAUUUUAUGAUAUCUUGAAGUAUAUAAAAUAUAUCAAGUAUUUCUAAUUCAACUAUUGAAUGUUUAGGUUCAAUAGUAACAUUAUAUUUUUUAAAAAAUUGUUCAAUUUUUUUAAGUAAAAUUGAGUUAGAGCAUAAAAUAUACAUCAAAUUUUUAUUAUAUGAAUAUAAAUAUACUACGGUUAUUAAUAAAUAUAAUCAUAUAUAAUGUAAUUAUUAGUAAUAGUUUAUUAAACUAUAUAAAGGAAUUCGGCAAGAAAAUUUUUCACCUGUUUAUCAAAAACAUAGCUUAUUGAAUAUCAUAAUAAGUAACCCCUGCUCAAUGGAAAUCUAAAUAGCCGCAGUACCUUGACUGUGCAAAGGUAGCAUAAUCAAUUGGCUUAUAAUUGAAGUCUGGAAUGAAUGGGUAAUCUGGAAAAUAACUGUCUUUAUUUGUAGUAUUUUGAAUUUACUUAUAAAGUGAAAAUACUUUAAUAUAAAUAUAAGACGAGAAGACCCUAGAAAUUUUUUGUUAAUAACUUUUGUUGGGGCGACAGGGUAACAUAUAAACUUACUUACAUUUAUAUAAAUCUUAUAAGGUACGUAACUAAAUUACUCUAGGGAUAACAGCAUAAUAUAUAAAAGUUUAUGACCUCGAUGUUGGACUAGGUAAUUAAAUAUUUAAAAGAUAUCUUAAUUUGCUCUGUUCGAGCAGUAUCACCUACAU